rnacentral:rRNA from 1 species
GAUGAACGCUGGCGGCGUGCUUAACACAUGCAAGUCGAACGGUGAACACGGAGCUUGCUCUGUGGGAUCAGUGGCGAACGGGUGAGUAACACGUGAGCAACCUGCCCCUGACUCUGGGAUAAGCGCUGGAAACGGCGUCUAAUACUGGAUACGAGUAGCGGCCGCAUGGUCAGUUACUGGAAAGAUUUUGUGGUUGGGGAUGGGCUCGCGGCCUAUCAGCUUGUUGGUGAGGUAAUGGCUCACCAAGGCGUCGACGGGUAGCCGGCCUGAGAGGGUGACCGGCCACACUGGGACUGAGACACGGCCCAGACUCCUACGGGAGGCAGCAGUGGGGAAUAUUGCACAAUGGGCGAAGGCCUGAUGCAGCAACGCCGCGUGAGGGAUGACGGCCUUCGGGUUGUAAACCUCUUUUAGCAGGGAAGAAGCGAAAGUGACGGUACCUGCAGAAAAAGCACCGGCUAACUACGUGCCAGCAGCCGCCGUAAUAC